ensembl:lncRNA
CCCUGAUCUAUGCUAACCUCCUACAGCGUAUAGGAACCCCCUCCCCACAGCACAUAUCAGUGGUCCUCAGACUCGUCGCUCCAGUGACAAUGCAGCCCGUUCCAUUUUCAGAAGUUCUACUAGAAAUUUUUUCUGUUCACCUUUGUUACCUCACAUCUGGAUUUUUGUUGACCUGCCACUCACUUUGAUUUCCACAGAAUCUCAUGGGGAUAUCUGUUUUCGUUCUGUUUCUAGUCUCACAUACCUUUUAUCACAGAAGCUCCUCUUCUUUUUGAUCUGGUUAGGCUCUGCAAAAUGAACAACCCUGAAACUUAAAGGCUUAAAACAAGAGAAAUUGAUUAUAUCUUAUGAUUCUGCGGGUUGACUGGGUGGUUUUCCUGAUGGUCUCACCUGGGUGACCGCAUUCAAUUGGCUGAUGGGCUGGGGGCAUCAGCUAGGGUGCCUUGGUGCGCUCCACAUGGUCUUUCCACAUUGCUGGCUUGGGCUGCUUCACAGCAUGUUGAUCUCAGUGAAGCUGGAAUUUUUACUUGGCAGCUGGCUUCCAAGAGGGAGAAAGCAGAAGCUCAGACAUCUCAGAAUCUCACUCCUGUUGCAUGCUGACAGGGACAGAGGUCAAAGCAAGUGGAGUAAGUUACAAGGCCAGGCCAGAUUUGAGAGGAAAGGAAAUAGACUCCACCUCUUAGUGGAAGAAGCAGCAAGUGCAAGCAGUGAAGAAGGGAACUGAUGGGGGCCAUAUUUGUGCAUAACCAACCACAUCCCCAAAAGCUAUUAAUAAGACAUUGACCCCCAUAGGCUCUAAAGGCUAAGAGAGGUUUAUACCUGUGGUCCUCAAUGCAUUUUCAUCCAACAGGAGAAGGAAUUAUUCUUCUAAGAGCUUUAAAAUCACAUAGGAUCGGGCAAACCUUUAUGCUUUGGGGGUCUCCACCUGGGACCGAGAAUUAAAUAGACAUAAGACAGAUGAACAGGAGAAAAGCAUACAAAUUUUAUUUUUACAUGUACUUGGAAGACUCUACAAGAAAAUGAAAAUGCAAAGAAGUGGCAAAAGGUAAACGCUUUUAUACUAAGUUGAACAAAGAGAGGCAAUUGUGGAAAAGUAACUACAUGUAUAUAUAAACAUAUUUAUAUGGGGAGGCUAAAGGCAGGUUUGAAUUAUUUUCACAAGAUCUGUUUUACAGAAUUCUUUCGGCCUCGACUCCUUGCCUCUGGUGAUAAGAAUAUUUCUUUCCCCCGAUAUAGAGAGGACAUCUUUCACAGAGGAGUUCCAGCUCCUGUUUUCAGGAAGGAAAUGGGAGGUCAGAGCAUCUAUCUUGCACCUGCUGUUUUUCAAGCAUCUUUAGCUCAAAAUAAUCCUUAUGGCUCGUGGCAUAUUUUGGGGUGGCAUAUCUGCCACCCUUCACUAGUAUAACUUCUACUCGGUACCUAUUUCCAAAGAGGAUCAGUUUCAACUAUAAGGAAAAUCUGUUGGGCAGAAAGAAGAUUCCAUAUUAUUUACAGCAGAUAACUUCUAGAUUAAAUUUCAAUGUAAAGACCUUUUCCCUAAUUAUUAUCUACCUCUUUUGAUGCUACAAUGUAAGCUCAUUCUCUCUCCUCAUUUUGAUUGUAACUAGGUCUGUAUUCACUCUAAAAGAGCCUCUCCUCAGCACCACAUAUUUCUGCUUUAACAAUCACUGCUGUGAGCUCAUCUCCCCUGGGAGACUUUGCCCUUUCUUCCUUGGGGUCCCCAUUGGGCCUGCAACAUAUUUCUGUCACACCAGAAUGCCGCAUUAGUGAAUGUAUUUGUUACAUGUCUGCCUCCUCUUACUAGCUUGGACAUGCCAUUGAGGGCCGCCAUUUUUGAAUCCCUAGCAGCACCUACCUCAGUGCCUUAAUAAAUGCC